CUAAGUAGCUUAGUGGUAAAGCUCCCGACUGUGACUCGGGCGUCGACUGUUCGAUUCAGUCCUUAAGCCA
rnacentral:tRNA from 1 species